AUUGAACGCUGGCGGCAGGCCUAACACAUGCAAGUCGAGCGGAUGAAGGGAGCUUGCUCUUGGAUUCAGCGGCGGACGGGUGAGUAAUGCCUAGGAAUCUGCCUGGUAGUGGGGGACAACGUUUCGAAAGGGACGCUAAUACCGCAUACGUCCUACGGGAGAAAGCAGGGGACCUUCGGGCCUUGCGCUAUCAGAUGAGCCUAGGUCGGAUUAGCUAGUUGGUGAGGUAAUGGCUCACCAAGGCGACGAUCCGUAACUGGUCUGAGAGGAUGAUCAGGCACACUGGAACUGGGACACGGUCCAGACUCCUACGGGAGGCAGCAGUGGGGAAUAUUGGACAAUGGGCGAAAGCCUGAUCCAGCCAUGCCGCGUGUGUGAAGAAGGUCUUCGGAUUGUAAAGCACUUUAAGUUGGGAGGAAGGGUUGUAGAUUAAUACUCUGCAAUUUUGACGUUACCGACAGAAUAAGCACCGGCUAACUCUGUGCCAGCAGCCGCGGUAACAC
rnacentral:rRNA from 1 species